GACAGAGGGUGCAAACGUUGUUCGGAAUUACUGGGCGUAAAGCGCGUGUAGGCGGCUAAGUAAGUCGGGCGUGAAAUCCCACGGCUCAACCGUGGAAGUGCACUCGAAACUGCAUAGCUAGAGUCCUGGAGAGGAAGGUGGAAUGCUUGGUGUAGAGGUGAAAUUCGUAGAUAUCAAGCGGAACACCGGUGGCGAAGGCGGCCUUCUGGACAGUGACUGACGCUGAGA
rnacentral:rRNA from 1 species